rnacentral:rRNA from 1 species
GACGAACGCUGGCGGCGUGCCUAAUCCAUGCAAGUCGAGCGCAGGAAACUGACGGAACUCUUCGGCGGGAAGGCAGUGGAAUGAGCGGCGGACGGGUGAGUAACACGUAAGGAACCUGCCUCAAGGAUUGGGAUAACUCCGAGAAAUCGGAGCUAAUACCGGAUAGUUCAACGGACCGCAUGGUACGCUGAUGAAAGGCGCUGCGGCGUCACCUUGAGAUGGCCUUGCGGUGCAUUAGCUAGUUGGUGGGGUAACGGCACACCAAGGCGACGAUGCAUAGCCGACCUGAGAGGGUGAUCGGCCACACUGGGACUGAGACACGGCCCAGACUCCUACGGGAGGCAGCAGUAGGGAAUCUUCCACAAUGGACGAAAGUCUGAUGGAGCAACGCCGCGUGAGUGAUGAAGGUUUUCGGAGCGUAAAACUCUGUUGUAAGGGAAGAACACGUACGAGAGGGAAUGCUCGUACCUUGACGGUACCUUACGAGAAAGCCACGGCUAACUACGUGCCAGCAGCCGCGGUAAAAC